GAUGAACGCUGGCGGCGUGCCUAAUACAUGCAAGUCGAGCGAACAGACGAGGCGCUUGCUCCUUUGACGUUAGCGGCGGACGGGUGAGUAACACGUGGAUAACCUACCUAUAAGACUGGGAUAACUUCGGGAAACCGGAGCUAAUACCGGAUAACAUGUUGAACCGCAUGGUUCAACAGUGAAAGACGGUCUUGCCGUCCCUUAUAGCUGGAUCCGGGCCGCAUUAGCUAGUUGGUAAGGUAACGGCUUACCAAGGCAACGAUGCCUAGACGACCUGAGAGGGGGAGCGGCGCCACUGGAACUGAGCCACGGUGCAGGCUCCGAAGGGAGGGAGUCGUAGGCAAAGUUCCGCAUGGGGCGAAGGCCGGACGGCGGAGGGCCGAGCGCGUGAAGAAGGUCCUCGGAUCGCAAAACCGCGUUAUUAGGGGAGACCAAAUGUGUAGGUAGCAAUGCCCGUCUUGACGGUACCUAAUCAAAAAGCCACGGCGAAUUACGGG
rnacentral:rRNA from 1 species